CCGCCGCAAUGAAGAAGAUCCGCUCGCUGAUUGUUGCCGGGCGACGGAGUACGAGUGUUUCUACCAACACCUGAGGCUGUUGGACGGAGCGUUCAAACUGUCAGCUAAAGACCUCCGAUCACAGGUGGUACGAGAGGCCUGCAUCACUGUGGCUCACCUGUCGACAGUGUUGGGUAAUAAGUUUGACCAUGGGGCCGAGGGCAUUCUUCCUGUCCUGUUCAACCUCAUCCCUAACUGUGCCAAGGUUAUGGCCACUUCAGGGGUGUCUGCUAUACGCUUCAUCAUACGGCACACACACGUUCCCAGACUCAUUCCCCUCAUCACCAGUAACUGCACCUGCAAGUCUGUGCCGUCAGAAGGAAAUGUUUUGACUUCUUGGACCUGCUGCUACAGGAGUGGCAGACCCAGACUCUAGACAGACAUACAGCGGUGAUGGUAGCCAGCAUUAAGAAGGGAAUCGCAGAUGCCGACGCAGAGGCCAGGGUAGAGGCCCGCAAGGCAUACUGGGGUCUGAGGAACCAUUUCCCGGGAGGCGGACUCUCUGUUCAACUCGUUAGAACCGUCCUAUCAGAAGAGCCUCCAAUCAUCUCUCAAGAGUUCUGGGAGCGUGACGUCUCUUCCUCAGAGCGACCGCUCCUCUUCCUCAUCACAGGAGAGCCUUAAUCGUCCUCUGUCAUCUAAAUGGUCAGCUGCUCCUGGAAGAGUCCCGGCGGGUCAUAAGGGCGGGCGUCGCCGGGCUACCUACAGCGUUCCCGUAGCGAUGUAGAUGUUAAUGCGGCAACGGUUGCUAAGCAGCGGCACAUCGGGCAGGUGGGGCCAGUGAGACUGAGCCCCAGCUCCUACUCCUCAUUGGAUGAUGCCUCAGAUAAAACAGAUGGUAAGAUCAACUCCUCCUUCACUCCCCCCGCUCAAAAACACCUCACGCUUUUU